ACUGGCUUUAUAUAGAGCUUAGAGUUGACCCAGCAGUGAGAGUCAUGGCCCAAACUUUCCUUGAAACAUUAAUUUGAGAAGAAAUUUAAUUAAGAAAGGAUUUGGCCAUUGAUGACUGCUUUAAUCUAGAGACUUGUUGUGAGGUUGAAAUUUCAAUUUUAAUUAAGACUUGUAUGAACUUGCACUUCAAUGUGAACACUUAAUGUUGAGAGAGAGAGAGAGAGAG
rnacentral:misc_RNA from 1 species